UUGCGGUGUGUGUUGCCUGAGUUGUAAUUGACGGUGCUGGAAGUGUGUGCAAAUUCCCGGUAAAUCGUUGAUUUGUCUUUAUUGUUGUCUACCCACCUGAAAACUUCAGCACCGCAAUCCUCCACGCGAUUCUCAGGAGAGUCAUCUCAAAUAAGACAACCACGGCGGUCUUCAACGUUAAUUAGCAUCUCAUAAAUUUCUUCCCAUUUGAAUAGGAAUUUUAUGACUUUUCUAUUUGUGAUGACAAAUAAUCAACACAAAAUAUCACACAUGAAGCCCAUAGAUUUGACAUAAAAACCCACGGGAAGUUGGAAGUUGGAUAAGGCAAAAAAAGCUUCUUAUAUUCUCAGCUUUUUUGCACAAAGUUACUUUCUAUACAUAUAUUGGAAAUUGCGUUCUCUCUAUGGAUGGAAUGUUAUAAUUUUUGUUCCACAACUUGUGUGCUCCUCUGCACGGCAAAACUGAUGGAAUCUGCGCACUCAAUUUUCAAUAUAUACAUGUAUAUAUUUGGUAUGUGGAAAAUCCCAUGAAAAUUUUCGAUAGUGUGGCCCACAAUGGAUGAUAUCCUUGAGAGACACAAAAAGACAAGAUUAAUCUCUAUGACAUGAAAUUCAAUUGAGAGACGCCCUCCGUAGGCAUAAAUAGUGCUUUUCACGCCAUCCAAAGUAUGAUUCCCAUAUACACAACAUAUACACACACUUUACGGCGUCCAAACGCACGCUAUAAAAUCUGGUAAAUGAGCUAAUUAAUCGUAUGUAUGGAGACUCCCCGUCUCGUUCAUUCCUUUUACACUUAUAUUCCACAAAUCGAGGUCAUGAAAGAAAAAUCGCCAACAAGCCCAUUGUGGAAACUCACAGCAACCUAAGUGAACCUACACUUCGCACCCAUUUCAAAAAUUCCUCCUGGGAAUCCAUUUCAACGCAUGUUGGCAGUUUUUCGUUCGAAAUUAUGACAGUCAUUAACAUGGAGUUUAGUAGAUGUUAUUCAGAGGAUAAACAUUAAUGAAUAUUUUUGUGUUUAAUUAAGGAGUUUGUAGGCUUCAAAUCAAAUGUUUUUCCUUUAACGAAGGUAUAACAUUUUUUUUUUAUUGAAUUUAAAAUAAAGGAUCUGUUG